rnacentral:rRNA from 1 species
UACGUAGGGGGCAAGCGUUGUCCGGAUUUAUUGGGCGUAAAGAGCGUGUAGGCGGCUUUGCAAGUCCGUUGUGAAAACUCGAGGCUCAACCUCGAGACGCCGGUGGAAACUGCAAAGCUAGAGUCCGGAAGAGGAGAGUGGAAUUCCUGGUGUAGCGGUGAAAUGCGCAGAUAUCAGGAAGAACACCCGUGGCGAAGGCGGCUCACUGGGACGGUAUUGACGCUGAGACGCGAAAGCGUGGGGAGCAAACAGG